rnacentral:rRNA from 1 species
UACAGAGGGGGCAAGCGUUGUCCGGAAUCAUUGGGCGUAAAGCGCGUGUAGGCGGCUCGGUAAGUCUGCUGUGAAAGUCCAGGGCUCAACCCUGGGAUGCCGGUGGAUACUGUCGAGCUCGAGUCCGGAAGAGGCGAGUGGAAUUCCUGGUGUAGCGGUGAAAUGCGCAGAUAUCAGGAGGAACACCAAUGGCGAAGGCAGCUCGCUGGGACGGUACUGACGCUGAGACGCGAAAGCGUGGGGAGCGAACAGG